CAGGUUGAGUGUCAUUUGUAUCUCCAGCAAGAAAAGCUGUUUCAGUUUCUCAAGGAAAAGGGGAUAACUGUUACAGCCUACAGCCCUCUCGGUUCACCAACUCGACCAGCUCACAUACUGAAGGAAGGAGCUCCCAGAGUUCUAGAUGACCCAGUUGCUAAGGAUCUGGCCACAAAGUAUAAAAGAUCUGAAGGACAGAUUCUCCUCCGCUAUCUCGUCCAAAGAGGCAUCAUUGUUAUCCCGAAGAGCAGCAAUCCUUCAAGAAUUCUGGA